rnacentral:misc_RNA from 1 species
AACGCACAUUGCGCCCGCCAGUAUUCUGGCGGGCAUGCCUGUUCGAGCGUCAUUUCAACCAUCAAGCCCCCGGCUUGUGUUGGGGACCUGCGGCUGCCCGCAGGCCCUGAAAACCAGUGGCGGGCUCGCUGUCACCCCGAGCGUAGUAGCAAUCACCUCGCUCAGGGCGUGCCGCGGGCGCCGGCCGUUAAAGCUGCCUUCGCGCAACACCCAAGGUUGACCUCGGAUCAGGUAGGAAGACCCGCUGAACUUAA